GACGAACGCUGGCGGCGUGCUUAACACAUGCAAGUCGAACGGAAAGGCCCUGCUUUUGUGGGGUGCUCGAGUGGCGAACGGGUGAGUAACACGUGAGUAACCUGCCCUUGACUUUGGGAUAACUUCAGGAAACUGGGGCUAUUACCGGAAGGGAGCUCCUGCUGCAGGGGGGGGGUGGGAAAGUUUCGGCGGUUGGGGAUGGACUCGCGGCUUAUCAGCUUGUUGGUGGGGUAGUGGCUUACCAAGGCUUUGACGGGUAGCCGGCCUGAGAGGGUGACCGGCCACAUUGGGACUGAGAUACGGCCCAGACUCCUACGGGAGGCAGCAGUGGGGAAUAUUGCACAAUGGGCGGAAGCCUGAUGCAGCAACGCCGCGUGCGGGAUGACGGCCUUCGGGUUGUAAACCGCUUUCGCCUGUGACGAAGCGUGAGUGACGGUAAUGGGUAAAGAAGCACCGGCUAACUACGUG
rnacentral:rRNA from 1 species